CUACGGUGCUGAAGUGACAAAUGCCCUGCUUCCAGGAAAAGCCUCUAAGCAUCAGGUAACAUCAAAUCGUACCCCAAACCGACACAGGUGGUCAGGUAGAGAAUACCAAGGCGCUUGAGAGAACUCGGGUGAAGGAACUAGGCAAAAUGGUGCCGUAACUUCGGGAGAAGGCACGCUGAUAUGUAGGUGAAGCGACUUGCUCGUGGAGCUGAAAUCAGUCGAAGAUACCAGCUGGCUGCAACUGUUUAUUAAAAACACAGCACUGUGCAAACACGAAAGUGGACGUAUACGGUGUGACGCCUGCCCGGUGCCGGAAGGUUAAUUGAUGGGGUUAGCGGUAACGCGAAGCUCUUGAUCGAAGCCCCGGUAAACGGCGGCCGUAACUAUAACGGUCCUAAGGUAGCGAAAUUCCUUGUCGGGUAAGUUCCGACCUGCACGAAUGGCGUAAUGAUGGCCAGGCUGUCUCCACCCGAGACUCAGUGAAAUUGAACUCGCUGUGAAGAUGCAGUGUACCCGCGGCAAGACGGAAAGACCCCGUGAACCUUUACUAUAGCUUGACACUGAACAUUGAGCCUUGAUGUGUAGGAUAGGUGGGAGGCUUUGAAGUGUGGACGCCAGUCUGCAUGGAGCCGACCUUGAAAUACCACCCUUUAAUGUUUGAUGUUCUAACGUUGGCCCCUAAUCGGGGUUGCGGACAGUGUCUGGUGGGUAGUUUGACUGGGGCGGUCUCCUCCUAAAGAGUAACGGAGGAGCACGAAGGUUGGCUAAUCCUGGUCGGACAUCAGGAGGUUAGUGCAAUGGCAUAAGCCAGCUUGACUGCGAGCGUGACGGCGCGAGCAGGUGCGAAAGCAGGUCAUAGUGAUCCGGUGGUUCUGAAUGGAAGGGCCAUCGCUCAACGGAUAAAAGGUACUCCGGGGAUAACAGGCUGAUACCGCCCAAGAGUUCAUAUCGACGGCGGUGUUUGGCACCUCGAUGUCGGCUCAUCACAUCCUGGGGCUGAAGUAGGUCCCAAGGGUAUGGCUGUUCGCCAUUUAAAGUGGUACGCGAGCUGGGUUUAGAACGUCGUGAGACAGUUCGGUCCCUAUCUGCCGUGGGCGCUGGAGAACUGAGGGGGGCUGCUCCUAGUACGAGAGGACCGGAGUGGACGCAUCACUGGUGUUCGGGUUGUCAUGCCAAUGGCACUGCCCGGUAGCUAAAUGCGGAAGAGAUAAGUGCUGAAAGCAUCUAAGCACGAAACUUGCCCCGAGAUGAGUUCUCCCUGAGACUUAGAGUCUCCUGAAGGAACGUUGAAGACGACGACGUUGAUAGGCCGGGUGUGUAAGCGCAGCGAUGCGUUGAGCUAACCGGUACUAAUGAACCGUGAGGCUUAACCUU
rnacentral:rRNA from 1 species